UCUUCCUAGUCACUUCCGCUCCCCCUUCCACCGGUUCUGAUCUCACUCGGGGUGCUUGUUGCCCAGCACCUGAACCGCCUCCUAAAAUGGGUCCUCGUGGUUUUGACCAGGAAACCAUCCUCUGGCGCCUCUGACCCCACCUCUUCGGGCUGAAGUGGCUGCUGGGCCUGGGGCUGCUCCUGUGGCCUUACUGGGCCCCUGGCGCGGCUUUCUGCCUCCCCGGAUUGGCCCCGGUCAACUUCAGCAAGGCGGGUCUAGAGACCGCAUCCUGUCAGUUGUCACCGGAACUAUUUGUAAACAGUGUAUUCAGUGUAAUCUGCAUGACCCUAUGCCUAGGUUUUGACUUCUGUCAAUACUUUGGAGACCAAAGACCUGAACGUCUUGGACAAGUACUAUCUGAAGAAUGGAAAAUAUCAUCUCCUUAUAAGAUGCUGCUACUCCUGCAUGGGGGACCCUAGAGGAUGCUGUAUAUCACAGAAAACCCACUACACUGCCAACCCUUAGAGAAGAAAUUGACAAUGCAUGUGCAGUAAUCUCAAUGACCAAGUUUACCCGAGCAGCAGUUCACCGUACUAAUAAAUGUCUGGAAGCCAAUGGCCACCACUUUGAGCACCUCCUGUAAUUAUAGAGG